rnacentral:rRNA from 1 species
CCCUUAGAUGUUCUGGGCCGCACGCGCGCUACACUGAUGCAUUCAACGAGCCUAUCCUUGACCGACAGGUCCGGGUAAUCUUUGAAUCUGCAUCGUGACGGGGAUAGAUUAUUGCAAUUAUUAAUCUUCAACGAGGAAUGCCUAGUAGGCGCAAGUCAACAGCUUGCGUCGAUUACGUCCCUGCCCUUUGUACACACCGCCCGUCGCUCCUACCGAUUGGGUGUGCUGGUGAAAUGUUCGGAUCGGCCGUUUGUCGCGGUUUCCGCGUCAUGUGGCUGAGAAGUUCAUUAAACCCUCCCACCUAGAGGAAGGAGAAGUCGUAACA